UACAGGGGGGGCAAGCGUUGUUCGGAAUUACUGGGCGUAAAGGGCUCGUAGGCGGCCAACUAAGUCACACGUGAAAUCCCCAGGCUUAACCUGGGAACUGCGUGUGAUACUGGAUGGCUUGAAUCCGGGAGAGGGAUGCGGAAUUCCAGGUGUAGCGGUGAAAUGCGUAGAUAUCUGGAGGAACACCGGUGGCGAAGGCGGUUCUCUGGGUAUGUCCUGACGCUGAGGAGCGAAAGUGUGGGGAGCGAACAGG
rnacentral:rRNA from 1 species